rnacentral:rRNA from 1 species
GAACGCUGGCGGCGUGCUUAACACAUGCAAGUCGAGCGGAAAGGCCCUUCGGGGUACUCGAGCGGCGAACGGGUGAGUAACACGUGAGUAACCUGCCCCUGACUCUGGGAUAAGCCUGGGAAACUGGGUCUAAUACCGGAUAUGACACCUCCCUGCAUGGGGUGGGUGUGGAAAGUUUUUUCGGUUGGGGAUGGGCUCGCGGCCUAUCAGCUUGUUGGUGGGGUAGUGGCCUACCAAGGCGACGACGGGUAGCCGGCCUGAGAGGGCGACCGGCCACACUGGGACUGAGACACGGCCCAGACUCCUACGGGAGGCAGCAGUGGGGAAUAUUGCGCAAUGGGCGGAAGCCUGACGCAGCGACGCCGCGUGGGGGAUGACGGCCUUCGGGUUGUAAACCUCUUUCAGCAGGGACGAAGUUGACGUGUACCUGUAGAAGAAGCGCCGGCUAACUACGUGCCAGCAGCCGCGGUAAUACGUAGGGCGCAAGCGUUGUCCGGAAUUAUUGGGCGUAAAGAGCUCGUAGGUGGCUU